AAAUUUUAUAUUUUAAAGAAAAACUCAUAAAUAAUAAUUUUACCUCAAAAAGUUGCUACAAGGACAUAAUUGGCCAAUUCUAAAAUAAAAUAUUUAUUAAAAUAAAUUUUUUCUUGGUCUAUUAAAGUUGAAUAUUAUUAUUAGUAUUAUGGCCUAAAAGGUAAAGGUUGAAUAUUACAAUUAUUAUUAUUAUUAUGCACAGUUGAUAUAUUAAUACAAUUUUGAGAAAUUUUCGUGCCAUUAAGGUAGAUCAUUUUCCUGCCAUUAAGGUAGAACACAAUGUUUGCAAAAUUGAACUGGAACGGUUAAUGGGACAUGAGCUCAGAAGCAAUUUAACCGGCCUAACCGGUAAACUAGCCGAUUCAACCGUUCUAUCCGGGCAAGUGAAAAAAGUGUUGGAAAAAUAAAAAAAUACAAAAAGCUACUAAAAUAUGAAAAGCAUAUAAAGAAUGAUUAAAACACAACACAUUCAAAUGAAGUUAAAAAUUAAUGAAAAAAUUGAUUUUAAAAAAUCGAUUUGUUCCUAAAGGUAUUUUUAAUUUUUUUUGAAAAACCUGAAAAAAAUAUAAAAGUGAGUAUUAUUUACCAAUACAAUUUUUAAUAUUCAACAUAAUGUAAAGAAUAUUAAAAAAUAUAUUAAAAAUUAAAUUUUUUAUUUUAAAACUUUAUAUAUAAUUUUUUAAUACUGGUCUAUCAUUAAAAAUGCCCAAAUCGAUCUAACAAAGCGGUUGAUUAUUGGUUAGAUCGCCCGGUUUUUCUAAAAUUGAUAGAGAGAAAUGAAGAGAGAAAAAGCAGAGAGAAAAAAAAAUCCCCCUAGAGGACCAUAUAAAAGGUUAAUCAUGGAGGCCUGCGCCUGCGGGAGGGUGAGCUGGUCCACGUAACAUUGGGUUUCUCUGAGGGACGUCAUCAAGUACGCUAUUUCCAACGAAGCAUUUUAAAAGGGUGUCGUUUGUAUAGAGCCGAGGCUCUAAACAAUCAAAUUAGAGCCUAUCUGAACUGAAAAAAAGUGAUUUAGGAAAUGGUUUGUAUAGAGCUGAGGCUCUAAACAAUCAAAUUAGAGCCUAACUUCUGUCAAAAUAAGUGACUUUGGAAAUAUUUGUGAUAGCUUUAACAUACAUUUUUAUUGCUAAUUAUAAAAUUUAAAGCUUAAAAAAUAGUGUUAUAUUUUUAAUUAUAAAAUUUAAAGCUUAAAAAAUAGUAUAGAUUAAGCAGAUCUUUGACAAAUUGAAAAUUUUGAAAUUUAUUUUUAUUUUUAAUUAUAAAAUUUAAAGCUUAAAAAUAUUGUAGAACAAGCGGAUCUCUGACAACUUGAAAAUCUUGAAAAUUGAUGGUCUAAAAACGUGCUACAAGAUGCAUUAUUUCCAAAACUUGAGAUCCAUUUUUUUUUCAUGUACAUGCAUCAUGAUAUCGAGAUGAGCAAUUUAAAAAUAUUUGCUAAUCAAAACAAUUUCUUCUAGUGAAAUAUUUGAUGUGGACUCUAAUUUGAUUGUUUAGGGCCCCGGCUCCAGAUAAACUUUUGCCCUUUUAAAAGACUACAACCCAAAAAUUUGAAAUACUUUGAACACGUGGCAGCUUAUUGUUGGGAGCCGAAUGGAUCCUGUUUUUUUAUGAAAUCGGAUGCAACUCGAUGGAUGGCCCGAUUCGGGGUAGGGGCAUCGAUUUUAAAACAUAUUUUCCCUAUAUAUGGUGUUUAUAUCACUUUGCACUUUUUCAUUUUUCUUAUUUCAAUUUGAAGGAAUGGAGGGUCACAUAGAACAUUAUUCGAGCCGCAUUAGCAGGGUGUCAACAUUCCAAUAUCCUGCACUAAAUUGAAUAUGUACAAAAGGGAUGGUCAUUGCAAUUAACUAGUACUCCAUUUAUGAAUAGCACGUUUUAGUUUUUAGAUUUCGCUUUUACUUGGACACAUUGAUUUUAGGAUGUGAUAUAGGUAAUGAUUUAUUAAACAAUAAAGUAAAAACGGUCAUAGUUGUAAUGUGUUACAAUAUGAUGUCUUGAAUUUCAUUUUUAUUAUAAACAAAAUAUUUCAAAAAAAUAGUCUUUAACCCAAUUUUCAUAAAAUCUUUUUGUUAUUUGAACUUUGUAAAACAUUUUCAUGGAGCAUCCAUAAAUAAACAUCACAACAAUACCUGUGGUCUCUCUAAAAGUUUAUCAACUCCAUUCAACAUGUUAAGCAAAGCACGCCUUCUCUCUAUAGAAUGCGGUGGCUCGUGUUUCUGGGCAUGUUGUGGUAAUAUAUCUCAUAAGUUAACCAGAAAUUACAAUUGUUGGACUCAAGUUAGACAAAGAUUUCUUGAACAAAUAAAAUUGAAAUUUGACCGAAAAAGAUAGAGAUGAAAUAGAUUUUUAUUGUUUUUUCACUUUUUACUCUGACCAUUUAAGUACUUCACGAAAUUUUCCUCAACAGAGUUCUAGACUAGCUCUGCAAUAGCUUGACUCUAGAAAGGAGAAAUGUGAUAAAAGAAAAUAUAUACACAGAGAAAAGGAAAAAAGAAAUAAAAAAAAAUAAAAGUGAAUGUUUUGUUUCUUCUUAUUGGAUGUUUUUAUUUUUAUUUUUUUAUUUAGUAAUUCUAGUGCUACACUAAAGGGGAAGACAAAGUUUUUGUAGGGUUCUCAUAAACCCCUUGAGGAACUAAAAAUUCAAAAUAUCGAGAUCUCAUCCAAGAUCGUAUACACAAUUGGGUUAAUGCAAAAUAUAUGAAUACAAACAUAAAUCGAGUGCAAGAAAUAAAGCAAAAACAUAAUCACACCAUAACAGCACAAGUUUUACGUGGUUCGCCUAGCGAGUAGAAAUCCACUGUAACAAUGAAGAUUACAAUUUUGGAUUACAAGAGGUAUAACUUUAUCUAAAUAUUGUUAAAAAACCUUCAUCGAUCUUCUUUCUAUUCUCCCGACCGAGCAACACUAUCCAUCAAUUUCUUUUUUCUUCCAUAAUACAACUAUUGGAAAGAUAAUUACGGGAGCAACUGGGAGCUUUUUUCUCUCUAGAAGUGUAAAUCUUCCCAACCCAAAACCCCAUUGGAAUACUGCCUCUGU
rnacentral:lncRNA from 1 species